rfam:Bacillus licheniformis ATCC 14580, complete genome.
AGUAAUGGAGCGCAGAUUAAGUUCGUCACAUCCUGUGACAACAUCUGCAUGACCUGCAUCGUGCAGG